UCAUCUUUAAAUAAAAAGGAUAAACAUUAUGGAUUUCCAUUAUCUCAAGCAAACUUUCAAUAUUAUGUGUUGCUUCUCUUAAAUGAGAUAAAAACCCAAGGAUGCAAAAAACUUAAUAUAAAAUAGUGUGAAGAAAAAGUAGUAACUGAAAUGAACAGCAUAAUAGAAUUUGAUAAGUUUGACUCAGUACUUGACAAUGUUUCAUCUAGUAACUCAGUAGUAUCUCUGCAGUUGUAAAUUGCUAAAUACUGAUUUGACAGAUUUUUCUUUUUUUUUAAUUUUCUUUACAAUAUAUACUUUUUACUACUUAAUUAGGAAUUGUCAGAUUUCCAUUAUUUCUUUCUAUUAGAAACAAAGAGUUCAAAAUAUUAGUAGUAAGAACUGUCAAAAACUUGUGAUAGCUAUGAUGAAGAGAUUUAUGACAAAUUCGCUCAUGGCCAAUUCUAAUAUGGCAGCUGGAAAAGGCAAAGGAUCUUUUUAGCCUAACUAAGCUAUACAACUUAGUAAAAGUUUGUGCAUCGACUUCUCACGAAUCAUACACCGAGUCGAUUGUCGAUGCAAUAAUUGCUGAUUCGUGAAAACGGGCAACUUUUGCUUGUCUUAAAGUGCCUUAAAUCCAUCGUUAUAAUAUUACUUUGUUUGUAAAUUGUUUUAAAAAAUAAAUUUAAAAAUAACUUUUAAAUAAA